UUGGUGGAAUGGGUCGUUAUCGCCGUUUAUUUUUACAACACGUUAUCAGCACGAACCGAUUAGAAUCUUGGAUAUCACUUGAGGUAACACAUCUUUACCUCUUCAUUAUCUAACAUCUCUACAUUUUAUUUUUAAGUAUGUCAAACAUUACCAAGAGAGAGUUUGCAACGUUAGAUAUUACCGGAAGUAAUUAUCUAACAUGGGUUUUUGAUGUCAAGAUACACUU